GACGAACGCUGGCGGCGUGCUUAACACAUGCAAGUCGAACGAAGUGGCGAACGGGUGAGUACGCGUAAUCAACCUGCCCUUCAGAGGGGGACAACAGUUGGAAACGACUGCUAAUACCGCAUACUGCAGGAUGGGAUUGCCGCUGAUUAGCCAGUUGGAGGGGUAACGGCCCCCCAAGGCGAGGAUCAGUAACCUGUCUGAGAAGGUGAACGGCCACAUUGGGACUGAGACACGGCCCAGACUCCUACGGGAGGCAGCAGGGGGGAAUCUUUGGCAAUGGACGAAAGUCUUACGGAGCAACGCCGCGUGGGUGAUGACGGCCUUUGGGUUGUAAAGCUCUGUUAAUCGGGACGCGGUACCGGAAUAGAAAGCCACGGCUAACUACGUGCCAGCAGCCGCGGUAAUAC
rnacentral:rRNA from 1 species